rnacentral:tRNA from 1 species
GGAGCGGUAUCGAAGUGGUUAUAACGAGACUGACUCGAAAUCAGUUGUAUCUUUUUAAGGUACCGUGGGUUCGAAUCCCACCCGUUCCG